rnacentral:rRNA from 1 species
UACGUAGGGCGCAAGCGUUGUCCGGAAUUAUUGGGCGUAAAGAGCUCGUAGGCGGCUUGUCACGUCGGGUGUGAAAGCCCGGGGCUUAACCCCGGGUCUGCAUCGAUACGGGCAGGCUAGAGUGUGGUAGGGGAGAUCGGAAUUCCUGGUGUAGCGGUGAAAUGCGCAGAUAUCGGGAGGAACACCAGUAGCGAAGGCGGCACUCUGGGCCGGUACUGACGCUGAGGAGCGAAAGCGUGGGGAGCAAACAGG